UACAGAGGUGGCAAGCGUUGUUCGGAAUUACUGGGCGUAAAGGGUGCGUAGGCGGUCGGGUAAGUCGGAUGUGAAAUCUCAGGGCUCAACCCUGAAACUGCAUUCGAUACUGCUUGGCUAGGGUACUGGAGAGGAGACUGGAAUUUACGGUGUAGCAGUGAAAUGCGUAGAUAUCGUAAGGAAGACCAGUGGCGAAGGCGAGUCUCUGGACAGUUACCGACGCUGAGGCACGAAGGCCAGGGGAGCAAACGGG
rnacentral:rRNA from 1 species